rnacentral:tRNA from 1 species
GGAUUGUGGCUCAGUGGUAGAGCGCUUGCCUAGCACUUGUGAGGCACUGGGUUUGAUUCUCAGCACCA